ACAAGCUUAUGAUGAAGAUUGUUAUCCCUGUCUGAACCACUGUGUGGAUUAAUGGUAACCUGAGGCUUGU
ensembl:snoRNA SNORD1A Small nucleolar RNA R38